AUGCAAGUCGAGCGCGAAAGGCCUUCGGGCUGAGUAGAGCGGCGGACGGGUGAGUAACGCGUAGGAAUCUACCUGGUAGUGGGGGACAACAUGGUGAAAACCAUGCUAAUACCGCAUACGCCCUAUGGGGGAAAGCGGGGGACCUUCGGGCCUCGCGCUAUCAGAUGAGCCUGCGUAGGAUUAGCUUGUUGGUGAGGUAAAGGCUCACCAAGGCGACGAUCCUUAGCUGGUCUGAGAGGAUGAUCAGCCACACUGGAACUGAGACACGGUCCAGACUCCUACGGGAGGCAGCAGUGGGGAAUAUUGCGCAAUGGGCGAAAGCCUGACGCAGCCAUGCCGCGUGUGUGAAGAAGGCCUUCGGGUUGUAAAGCACUUUCAAUUGGGAAGAAAGGUUGCGUGUUAAUAGCACGUAGCUGUGACGUUACCUUUAGAAGAAGCACCGGCUAACUCCGUGCCAGCAGCCGCGAUAAUACGGAGGGUGCGAGCGUUAAUCGGAAUUACUGGGCGUAAAGCGCGCGUAGGCGGUUUGUUAAGUCGGAUGUGAAAUCCCCGGGCUCAACCUGGGAAUGGCAUUCGAUACUGGCCGACUAGAGUACGAGAGAGGGAGGUAGAAUUCCACGUGUAGCGGUGAAAUGCGUAGAUAUGUGGAGGAAUACCGGUGGCGAAGGCGGCCUCCUGGCUCGAUACUGACGCUGAGGUGCGAAAGCGUGGGUAGCAAACAGGAUUAGAUACCCUGGUAGUCCACGCCGUAAACGAUGUCUACUAGCCGUUGGGAGACUUGAUUUCUUAGUGGCGCAGCUAACGCACUAAGUAGACCGCCUGGGGAGUACGGCCGCAAGGUUAAAACUCAAAUGAAUUGACGGGGGCCCGCACAAGCGGUGGAGCAUGUGGUUUAAUUCG
rnacentral:rRNA from 1 species